rnacentral:rRNA from 1 species
UACGGGGGGGGCAAGCGUUGUUCGGAAUUACUGGGCGUAAAGGGCUCGUAGGCGGCCAACUAAGUCAGACGUGAAAUCCCUCGGCUUAACCGGGGAACUGCGUCUGAUACUGGAUGGCUUGAGUUUGGGAGAGGGAUGCGGAAUUCCAGGUGUAGCGGUGAAAUGCGUAGAUAUCGGAAGGAACACCGGUGGCGAAAGCGGCGCGCUGGGACGGUACUGACGCUGAGACGCGAAAGCGUGGGGAGCGAACAGG